GCCAGUGUGGCAUAGUGGUGUGAGUGCUGGACUAAGGCUCUGGAGAUCAGGGUUCAAUAGGUUCAAUUCCUAUUUGGCC